CAUUACUGACUGAGUGGGAUGCGAGUGGA
rnacentral:piRNA from 1 species